ensembl:lncRNA
CAUCUGUUAUCCCACACCACUUCUGGAGCCCAUGGGCACACUGUGACCCUUCAGCGAUAAAUCAGCACUGUGCCGGUCCUCAGCUGCAGGUAGUUAAGAAGGCUUGAUUGUCUUUUUAUCCACCAUGCUGCCCUGCUGCAGGAUGAUGGAGUUCCAUGGCAGGGGAAGGUUGAUCCUAGUCCCCUUUGGAGCUAACAGGAGUCUUAGGAAACUCUUACCAGAAUUCCAGAUUCUUCCUUUAUAACUGCACUGUGGACUGUGAGGAAUGGUAGAGCAGUACUUCUGGGACUGAACGGUGAUGUGGAAGGACGGAAAUGCAAGACAAAGAGGAUAUUUUGUGAGAAAAAAACUCUUCAGAGAAACCAUCUGCCAUCUGUGUACAACAAAAGGAAGACAAUCCUUAGAGUUGAAUGUUACAAAACAAAAACAUAAUGCAACGUAUAAAGCUAUUUUUUUCCUGUUCUCUUCCAGCUGCUAAUCUUUGUCAAAAAAUGUCUGAAGCUGUUGCUCUGAGGAAUUGUCUUAGCAUUGAUACUGAAGAAGACAUUUACGAGGGAUGGGAGAAGAGACCCCAAAGAGUCACUGUAAUUGUAGCACAGGAGAGAGAGAAAGCUAGAUGCUUGUGUCCUCUACUCUUCCUCCGAGUUUAUAAAACAAGCCUUUGAAAUAUGUUACCCUUCCUUCUGUCCUGUGGUGUCCCUGAAGACAAGGAAACUUUUUCUGACCAGAGGAUUACAGAAACCACGGACCGUUUGUGAAAUGGGCUGUGGAAACUGGUUACUAUGACAACUCAGAAGGAAUGAAGUAAAGGUGAAUACAGAUAUAUAGAUGCAUAUCUCUGCAUUCAUUGACUCAAUGUAGUUGCAUACACUAGACUCUGAAGUACCAGCUGCCAGGACUGUGACACUGUUUGAAUUGUUGCCACAUUUAUUAAUGAAACCAUCUGUCACUGUAAGAUAAACCUGAGGGUUUUUUUUUUUGUUGUUGUUGUUGUUUUUUUUCCCCGGAAACAGCAGAGAGCAUCCAAAAAUCAACAAACCUGAGUAUUCGGUAUGACGAACUCAACACAAAUAUCCUUGCGACAGGACUCUAUUUUAUAUUACAUAACAGAGUUCAAAACACAAAAUGAAAAAAGAAAUCUUCAUUGUUGCCGCCCACAAAAUCUUUUCCAAAGUUAAAAACAUUUCAAGCAAUUGCAGGUGGUAAAAUAGAACCUUUGUCAGAGGGUACUAUUGUCUUCCUCAUCACUGUCAGAAUUUUGGAUCAAGUAGAAUCAAAUCUCAGAAGCUGAAUAUAUUGAAUGACAGUAUCUGGUACACCAAUUGAUGUGACUCAUGCUGGACAUCUCAUGUCUUUAUUGAAGGAAAAUCACUUUUCUGUAAAACUUUUCUAGAACUCUCAGCACAUUAAUGCCUCUUUCAGGUGUUUUCAAAGGCAAUGAAAGAUAUCCAUAGUCAGUGGGUGCAGCAUUCAGGAAUCUCCCCAAACAAAGAAAAAACAGUGAUAGAAAAGAGUAAUAGUGUAGUCCUUCAAAUACUAUCUAGUACCGUAUUGUUUCACUACCUUACACUACUCCAAUGCCACACUGAUGGUGAAGAAAAUAUAUAAAAAUCAAUAUCAGGUCCCUUCUGAAUUCCUUAAUAGCAUAUACUUAAUUAAAACUGCUAAAUGACCAGAGUGUUUAAAAUUACUUUGUGACUGCAAGGGUUUCUGAGAUGUUCUUGACGACACUGCAAAACUGUUAAUCAGAACAUCAAGACCAAGAGAAGAGGAGGGAGAUUUCCUGAUGAUCCAGUAGUCUGCUGAAAUCUUCAAUGUAUCAUAAUUGUAAAACAUUUGAACAGCUUUGCUGAUAGAGUCAGUAGGUAAAUUUCUUAAUGAAUAAAACAUUCACAGCCAGGUAGAAGACCUGGGAA